rnacentral:tRNA from 1 species
GCCUUCGUAGUGUAGUAGUCAGCACACUCGACGGGUAUUCGAGAGGUCCGCGGUUCGAUUCCCGGCGAGGGCA